GGAUUAGAUACCCUGGUAGUCCACGCAGUAAACUAUGCACACUUGAUGUAGAUCGGCUCAACCCGGUCUGUGUCGCAGCUAACGCGUUAAGUGUGCCGCCUGGGGAGUACGUCUGCAAGGAUGAAACUCAAAAGAAUUGACGGGGACUCGCACAAGCGGUGGAGCAUGUGGUUUAAUUCGAUGCUACGCGAGGAACCUUACCUAGGCUUGACAUAUAGAGGACAGCUCCAGAAAUGGUGUCUCCCUUACGGGUCUCUAUACAGGUGCUGCAUGGCUGUCGUCAGCUCGUGCCG
rnacentral:rRNA from 1 species